GUUUUUUGUCAGGUACGAAAACAAUUCAGAGAAAUCUUUCUAGAAAUGGGAUUUGAAGAGAUGCCGACAAAUAACUUUGUUGAGAGUAGUUGGCAUCCAAAAGUAGAAGAAACAAUUAAUGAAUUUGCUAGACAUAGAAACAAAAAACAAGUCUCCAUUGGCUGUAGUUAUUUAUGGAUUUGGUGGCAUAAGAAAGACCACCCUCGCCACCGCUGUUAUUGCUGACUUAGAUCUCACAAAUUACAACUAUUCAGGAGUUCAAAU